rnacentral:rRNA from 1 species
UACGUAGGGGGCAAGCGUUGUCCGGAAUUACUGGGCGUAAAGCGCGUGUAGGCGGGACGGUUAGUCGGACGUGAAAGGCUGGGGCUCAACCCCAGAUCGCCGUUCGAAACUGCCGUUCUUGAGGGUCGAAGAGGAGAGUGGAAUUCCUGGUGUAGCGGUGAAAUGCGUAGAGAUCAGGAGGAACACCCAUGGCGAAGGCAGCUCUCUGGUCGACAUCUGACGCUGAGACGCGAAAGCGUGGGGAGCGAACAGG